GGUCCAAAUUUGAAGUAGAGUAGAUUGAUAGUAUCAGCUGAUCCUACUAAUCUACUGUACUUCAAAUUUGGGCCC
rfam:Haemonchus placei strain MHpl1 genome assembly, scaffold: HPLM_scaffold0000014